ACCUCGGAUCAGGUAGGAAUACCCGCUGAACUUAAGCAUAUCAAUAAGCGGAGGAAAAGAAACCAACAGGGAUUGCCCUAGUAACGGCGAGUGAAGCGGCAACAGCUCAAAUUUGAAAUCUGGCUCUCGGGCCCGAGUUGUAAUUUGUAGAGGAUACUUUUGAUGCGGUGCCUUCCGAGUUCCCUGGAACGGGACGCCAUAGAGGGUGAGAGCCCCGUCUGGUUGGAUGCCAAAUCUCUGUAAAGUUCCUUCAACGAGUCGAGUAGUUUGGGAAUGCUGCUCUAAAUGGGAGGUAUAUGUCUUCUAAAGCUAAAUACCGGCCAGAGACCGAUAGCGCACAAGUAGAGUGAUCGAAAGAUGAAAAGCACUUUGAAAAGAGAGUUAAAAAGUACGUGAAAUUGUUGAAAGGGAAGCGUUUAUGACCAGACUUGGGCUUGGUUAAUCAUCUGGGGUUCUCCCCAGUGCACUUUUCCAGUCCAGGCCAGCAUCAGUUUUCCCCGGGGGAUAAAGGCGGCGGGAAUGUGGCUCUCUUCGGGGAGUGUUAUAGCCCACCGUGUAAUACCCUGGGGGGGACUGAGGUCGCGCNU
rnacentral:rRNA from 1 species